rfam:Candidatus Portnoybacteria bacterium RIFCSPHIGHO2_01_FTLL_40_12b rifcsphigho2_01_scaffold_2252, whole genome shotgun sequence.
GCCGGCGUGGUGAAAUUGGCAAACACGCAUGGUUUAGGACCAUGUGCCGCAAGGCUUAGGGGUUCAAAUCCUCUCGCCGGCA